UUCUCUCUCCUCCGUCCAAGCCUGCUCCCAUCCCGAGGCCAGGAGCUCCAUAGAGAAGCACGGAGGCUGCUCCUACUGUCAGAAGGAAGAGGAGGGGGCGUGGCGUCCGGGGUUUCCUCGGAGCCGCGGUGUCAUUUCUUGGCGGCGAAAGAGGCGGCCAAGCGCCGCUCGUCAGGCAGCGAGAACAGCAGCCGGAGGAAGAGGAGGCCCCGCUCCUGAGGUGAAGAAUAUGUCAAGUGUCAUCUCCCCAUCUUCAUUGCUUCUGUUUCUCAGAUGCCAUAGUUCAAUAAGAGGUAUGUUUAAGUGCUAAUUAAAACAGAUCUUUAGAAGAAUAACUGUAGAAAGCUAAUACAUACACGAU
rnacentral:lncRNA from 11 species